rnacentral:rRNA from 1 species
GUGGCUUAAUUUGACUCAACGCGGGAAAUCUUACCGGGUCCGGACACACUGAGGAUUGACAGGCAAUAUUAGCACUUAGCUUCGGCGACGUGUUAUGUUAAAUAUGCUAGUCCUUUCAUGAUUAUGUGAUAGGUGGUGCAUGGCCGUUCUUAGUUCGUGGAGUGAUCUGUCUGCUUAAUUGCGUUUCACCAAGGGCCUAUAAUUUUACGUGUGUUGCGGCACUUUGACCCCUCUUUUUUUAAAGAGCGCGUGUCUUGGUUUGCUUAGCUCGCACAAUUAGGUCCUGAAAGCAACGAACGUGACCGCAACCUCUUGUUGCCUUUAUACCAAACGUGCAUAUGCAAUUUUUUAAUUGCUUUGCGCGCAAAAAGGCUUUUUAAACUAGAGGGACCGCUGUUACUUUCUUAAACCAGAGGAAGGUUGCGGCAAUAACAGGUCUGUGAUGC